rnacentral:rRNA from 1 species
ACAGCAGUAGCCGCGGUAAGACAGAGGAUGCAAGCGUUAUCCGGAAUGAUUGGGCGUAAAGCGUCUGUAGGUGGCUUUUCAAGUCCGCCGUCAAAUCCCAGGGCUCAACCCUGGACAGGCAGUGGAAACUACCAAGCUGGAGUACGGUUGGGGCAGAGGGAAUUUCCGGUGGAGUGGUGAAAUGCGUUGAGAUCGGAAAGAACACCAAUGGCGAAAGCACUCUGCUCGGCCGACACUGACACUGAGAGACGAAAGCUAGGGGAGCAAAUGGGAUUAGAUACCCCCGUAGUCCCUGUCUCUUAUAC